rfam:Candidatus Firestonebacteria bacterium RIFOXYA2_FTLL_40_8 rifoxya2_full_scaffold_3537, whole genome shotgun sequence.
GGGCCCGUAGCUAAAAUGGAUAUAGCAGUGGUUUCCUAAACCGCGCGCUGGAGGUUCAAUUCCUCUCGGGCCCA